AGUGAACGCUGGCGGUAGGCCUAACACAUGCAAGUCGAACGGCAGCACAGUAAGAGCUUGCUCUUACGGGUGGCGAGUGGCGUACGGGUGAGGAAUACAUCGGAAUCUACUUUUUCGUGGGGGAUAACGUAGGGAAACUUACGCUAAUACCGCAUACGACCUACGGGUGAAAGCAGGGGAUCUUCUGACCUUGCGCGAUUGAAUGAGCCGAUGUCGGAUUAGCUAGUUGGCGGGGUAAUGGCCCACCAAGGCGACGAUCCGUAGCUGGUCUGAGAGGAUGAUCAGCCGCACUAGAACUGGAACACGGUCAAGACUCCUACGAGAGGCAGCAGUGGGGAAUAUUGGACAAUGGGCGCAAGCCUGAUCCAGCCAUACCGCGUGGGUGAAGAAGGCCUUCGGGUUGUAAAGCCGUUUUGUUGGGAAAGAAAAGCAGCAGGUUAAUACCCCGCUGUUCUGACGGUACCCAAAGAAUAAGCACCGGCUAACUUCGUG
rnacentral:rRNA from 1 species